rnacentral:rRNA from 1 species
AUUGAACGCUGGCGGCAGGCCUAACACAUGCAAGUCGAACGGUAACAGGCAGAAGCUUGCUUCUUUGCUGACGAGUGGCGGACGGGUGAGUAAUGUCUGGGAAACUGCCUGAUGGAGGUGGAUAACUACUGUAAACGGUAGCUAAUACCGCAUAACGUCGCAAGACAAAAGAGGGGGACCUUCGGGCCUCUUGCCAUCGGAUGUGCCCAGAUGGGAUUAGCUAGUAGGUGGGGUAACGGCUCACCUAGGCGACGAUCCCUAGCUGGUCUGAGAGGAUGACCAGCCACACUGGAACUGAGACACGGUCCAGACUCCUACGGGAGGCAGCAGUGGGGAAUAUUGCACAAUGGGCGCAAGCCUGAUGCAGCCAUGCCGCGUGUAUGAAGAAGGCCUUCGGGUUGUAAAGUACUUUCAGCGGGGAGGAAGGGAGUAAAGUUAAUACCUUUGCUCAUUGACGUUACCCGCAGAAGAAGCACCGGCUAACUCCGUG